GUUGGUGUGCUGUAGUGGUAUCAUGUCCUGUUUAAAGCAGGGAGACCCAGUGUGAGUUUCUUUCCCUGACAGAAGUAGCUAACUCAAUGUUCUCACAAGCAUGUCAUGUUUAGGUUCGAUUCCUGGCGCCAACC